rnacentral:rRNA from 1 species
AGAGUUUGAUCAUGGCUCAGAUUGAACGCUGGCGGCAUGCCUUACACAUGCAAGUCGAGCGGCAGCGCGGGGGCAACCCUGGCGGCGAGCGGCGCACGGGUGAGUAAUGCAUCGGAACGUGUCCUCUUGUGGGGGAUAACCAGUCGAAAGACUGGCUAAUACCGCAUGAGAUCGAGAGAUGAAAGCAGGGGACCCGCAAGGCCUUGCGCGAGAGGAGCGGCCGAUGCCCGAUUAGCUAGUUGGCGGGGUAAUGGCCCACCAAGGCGACGAUCGGUAGCUGGUCUGAGAGGACGACCAGCCACACUGGGACUGAGACACGGCCCAGACUCCUACGGGAGGCAGCAGUGGGGAAUUUUGGACAAUGGGGGCAACCCUGAUCCAGCCAUGCCGCGUGUGUGAAGAAGGCCUUCGGGUUGUAAAGCACUUUCGGACGGAACGAAAUUGCACGGGCGAAUAUCCCGUGUAGAUGACGGUACCGUAAGAAGAAGCACCGGCUAACUACGUGCCAGCAGCCGCGGUAAUACGUAGGGUGCGAGCGUUAAUCGGAAUUACUGGGCGUAAAGUGUGCGCAGGCGGCUGAGCAAGUCGAGUGUGAAAGCCCCGAGCUUAACUUGGGAAUUGCGCUCGAAACUACUUGGCUGGAGUGUGGCAGAGGAAGGUGGAAUUCCACGUGUAGCGGUGAAAUGCGUAGAGAUGUGGAGGAACACCAAUGGCGAAGGCAGCCUUCUGGGCCAACACUGACGCUCAUGCACGAAAGCGUGGGGAGCAAACAGGAUUAGAUACCCCAGUAGUCC